rnacentral:rRNA from 1 species
CGCGGCCUAUCAGCUUGUUGGUGGGGUAAUGGCCUACCAAGGCGACGACGGGUAGCCGACCUGAGAGGGUGACCGGCCACACUGGGACUGAGACACGGCCCAGACUCCUACGGGAGGCAGCAGUGGGGAAUAUUGCACAAUGGGCGAAAGCCUGAUGCAGCGACGCCGCGUGAGGGAUGACGGCCUUCGGGUUGUAAACCUCUUUCAGCAGGGACGAAGCGCAAGUGACGGUACCUGCAGAAGAAGCACCGGCUAACUACGUGCCAGCAGCCGCGGUAAUACGUAGGGUGCAAGCGUUGUCCGGAAUUACUGGGCGUAAAGAGUUCGUAGGCGGUUUGUCGCGUCGUUUGUGAAAACCAGCAGCUCAACUGCUGGCUUGCAGGCGAUACGGGCAGACUUGAGUACUGCAGGGGAGACUGGAAUUCCUGGUGUAGUGGUGAAAUGCGCAGAUAUCAGGAGGAACACCGGUGGCGAAGGCGGGUCUCUGGGCAGUAACUGACGCUGAGGAACGAAAGCGUGGGUAGCGAACAGGAUUAGAUACCCUGGUAGUCCACGCCGUAAACGGUGGGCGCUAGGUGUGGGUUCCUUCCACGGAAUCCGUGCCGUAGCUAACGCAUUAAGCGCCCCGC